rnacentral:rRNA from 1 species
GACAUAGGUGGCGAACGUUAUCCGGAAUUAUUGGGCGUAAAGGGUGCGUAGGUGGUUUAACUAGUUAUCGGUGUGAAAUCUCCCGGCUUAACUGGGAGGGUGCGCCGGAAACUGGAGUGCUCGAGCGUGGGAGAGGAAAGCGGAAUUCCUGGUGUAGCGGUGAAAUGCGUAGAUAUCAGGAGGAACACCUGCGGUGUAGACGGCUUUCUGGACCAUUGCUGACGCUGAGACACGAAAGCGUGGGUAGCAAACAGG